AUUUAUCCGCAUAACUUUGUGUCUAUAAUCGAUCGUCCACCUCGGCAGCCUCCGCUGUGCGGUUGUGCGCUUUGCAACAUGCAUUGAUCAUUCAUAUAUGAGAUUGCGGUUACGGUAUUUUUAUUUGGUAAUUAAAUUUUACGCCGCACGAAAAAGGCGCAGUCUAUUAGUACUGCAUUAAAAGUGGUGCGCACGGAUCAAUAUUCUGUCGGCCGUGCAUUCGGACGCCCGUCGCGUCACCUUGUCCCAUUUAUGCUCGUGAGCAAAGUUAGCGCGCACAAUCAUUAGUGAAAUGCCAGCGGAAAAAAUACGACAAUGUUCGCAAAUGGCUGCGAUGUCUUAUCGAGGCAUAGCCUAUGCUUUUUCAAGGCCUUCGAUACGACGAUACAUUCGGUGAGACGCGUUGUAGGGAAGUGCGCUCUCUGCGUAAACUGAUUGAUUCAGGUAGCAUCGUCCAACACCUCAACGACGGUGGUGCGCGAACGCGGUAAGUUUGUCAUCACGUGCAAGGCACCUGUGACGCACCUGCCCCUGUGGCUGAAGGACGGAGUACCCGUGGCUCAAAGCCAAGGGUAUCAACUACAGCAGGAGUACCCAUCUGCCACGAGCAACGCCACACAUCAUGGCCACAUCCUCAUGCGUCUGUCUGUCGAGAGGGCCCAACUGGCUCAUGCGGGCGAAUACAAGUGUAGCAGCUUCAGUCCUCACGCACAUCGCAUCCUCGUGGUCGCUGGUAAGAUACAAAGGGGGAGAGACAGACUCACUUUGUGCCAGGACGCAAUCCUCCAGUUAUCAGAUACCACAGUAGGCAAAGCUGGUUGGGAAAUGGGCCCUCACCUCUUGUGUGUCUCUGGCACAAAUUGAGCCCCUUUGUCAACUCCUUGUGUGGGCACACAGAGCCCCUCUGCCAGUUUCCUCGGUCUGCAUGGCUCCGUCCGGUUUUAUCUCUUUCAAUUUGAUUUACUUUUUGUUGCGUUGUUUGUUUCGAUUGCAUUAUCUCUAGCACUUUUCAGGGGGCGGUUCUUCGGUGCAAAUAAGAAUGAUCCAACGGCGAAUAAUAGGACCAAUCUGGACGUGAAAGUGCUUUUCCUGAAUGUGCUAUUUGCUAAUUGUAAGCCGUUGUAAAGCGAGCGAGCCACAGUAGGAUUUUGCAUCACGAAACUCUUUUCCGCAGGGGAGUUCUAAAGCAUCCUGUCCGUAGCAGAUGCGAGUGAUAGAACACUCAUCCCUUCUCUCCAAGAAAAGGCAUAUUUGCGGCACUUUUGCGAAUUAAAUUUUAUUCCGAUAAUGCAUCCUAAAAUGUAUUCCAUGGUUGUUUCUGAUAUGUUGCUUGAAAAGGCCAUCUAGCAUAUCCUCUAAAGAUCUUCCACGACUGCUUGCACAAAAGAGAAUCGAAAGACCAUCAAAAAACUGUGCACCGAAAAACUGUUCGUUCAUUUAUUUUCCCGUGUUUUCUUUGCUCUGCAUAGCCUUUUGAUUUGUCCCAUUUUGAUAUUGUGAAAAUAUAUCGAAGUGACUUACAGUAAUCAAAACAUAAACUGCACAUGGUAAAAUAAUUUUAGUUGAGGGAACGGCACGUGCUACACUGUGAUACCUCCGUGUAUUUUAUUACGUAUUCCCGCUACCUGUAGCUAACACUGCAGUAAAGUUGUUUGUACUCUGACAGUUUUACGAUAUCUGUCAUGUAAUUGAUUCAGUCUAUACAUCGGCUUGUGUUGAUGCUAUUGCUCAACUAGCUUUUCCUUUCUUGAGCCUUUAUGAACGAAAUACUUUGCUAAGUGUUCCUGCAACAUAUCAGUAGUUUCAGCAUUUUUAGUAGUUUCUGCACCAUGGGGCUGGGCACAGUUACUGAUCUAAAUGACAAAGCAAUAAAUGUGCGAUAUAUAAAUAGAAUGCACUAGAAAAUUUUCAAAAUAACUGUUAAUAAUUGUGUAACUGCGUUAUAUAUUACUAAAUAUCACGUAUGAUAAUACGAUGUACGUAUCAUUUCCCACCCUCACGUUUGUACCAUUAUUGGUUGAUUUUGCUUCUAUUUGGUUAAUGCAAAAUUUGUGGAAUAAAUGAAUCAUGGUAACAAGACACCAAGACAAACUUGCUACUAUAAUAAAGGUCUUUUAUCAGAAGUGUGGGAAUGGCAGAGUUUGAGGCUUGUUUGCCCAUGGCUGAGGUAUAUAUUACUCUUCUGUCACACACUGAUCAAUAAGAAUGGAAAACAUGCUUGGCAGUGUAAGGUACAGUAACAUAUGUUAACGUUGCAAUUUUGUAAAUUCUGUCGAGUAUAUUUCUUUAAGUAAGGUGAAGUUUACCCAUACAUCUUCUGCAACCAUUAUUAUUGGUCACAAAUCAAUUUGCAUUAAACAUCAUUGAAUGCAAGCCCAGAAUUACUUGUGUACUACAGAGCCCAAAUUCUGCAUCCUUUUAUCGGCACAGUACUAAACUUUCUGUUGCAUUCCAAUGCACUUUUAAUGCUUUGUAAGCUGCUUAGAUGAGCUGUAUUGUAUAGCUAGCAUGAAAAGGUAUUUCCCCCGUGUAAAAAGAAUGUGAAUGGACACAAGCAACAUGCAUCAAGUAUAUAUGUGCUUGUUGUGCUGCAUGAUUUUUUUGUUGCCUUUCACCGAGGAAAAUGUGCCUGAGGGGUCGAUGCUUGAGAGUAGCAUAUGGAAAGAAGUGCAGGCUAAAAAAUGCUACCCUGGACAGCAAAGGGUGACAUAAGAGUGUGGUACAAAAGGCUUUUUUGUCUACAGCUGCAAUAAUGAAUAAAAAGUUUGCUCACUCGGAAGGUAAGGUUCGCUCACUGAAAGCACAAUGGAGGAUGGCGUGUCUUACCAACCAGUCUUGGGAGCACAGAGAUCGGAGCCACAUAUUAAUUUUAGAAGAUGGCAGGCAUAUCAAACUGAAUUAGAGCAGCAUGUCCCAAUAAAGUGCAUGAGUCAACAAAAAGAAAGAAAAAAAAAAUAUUACCUUCAUCCUUCCUUUACUAUCACACUCUCAUGUUCGCUCUUAAAUAAUAAAGCCAUAUUUGACAUACUAAAGUACCUAAGCUACUGGCAGGCAUCGGCAAUAUGCCUAUUACCAGCGACCUACGAGGCGAUGGCAAGACAUUCUGAGCUUCCUUCGCUUGAUCUUUUUUGCCUUCCACUGCGCACUGUGUUGGGGACUGUGUUGUACGUGUAGCUUGGGAAUCGGAAAACAGGCAAAAGACAGCACCGUGGUUGGCAAAAGCUGUGCAUCAUUUUGCCAAGUUGUUGCUGUGUCAACUCUGUACUAUGAGUUAGAUUGUAUAUUUCAUUGCACUGCUUUAUCCCAUUACAGCAGUAUGCAGCUGCACUCUCAUAAUAUGUACAUAUUAUGCUUGUUUCAUUGACGUUCCUUUCAUCCUUGUAUACUUGUUUUACUUUCUUGUCUAUGCAUUCAUUUCUGUUUUGACAUGAAGUACAGAUUCCUAUGUUGCGUUGAUCGAUGUUGUAGUAUAUUUAGUUGAGCGUAUGUGCUGCACAGUCAAGGUUGGUUAGGGCCAGCGUUCUGUCUGGUCACAGAACUCUCUGCCGUCACGUAGUUGAACGCGGCAGGAAUUUGUGUAGCGAGGCUCCCCUUUGUGGUGCAUUCAACGGGUUGCAUGACACAAAUUUUUUGCUAUUUCAGCGAAAAUACCCUUUGUCACAUAUUUUGAGCCUACACAGACCUCUUGGGAAAAAGUAAAAUGCCACAUUUCUGCGACUGUGCUGUCUGCCGUCUUAAGGCAUGCCAAAGCCAAACUAAUGAAAAAUUUCUAUACUAUCAGAUUCUGUGAAGGAACUUUGAAACCUAAGUGUCCUCCAAGUCUGCCGAAAAGUCUGAAAACUUUGAAUUCUUGAUUAUGUGUUAUUAGUUUGUCAAUUUGGGAGCCACGUUACUUGAAUGUUACUACACUGAUGCAUGACUUUUAGCAGUCACAGGUCAUGUUUAGCUUUCUUAAGAUGUUUGCAUAGCCCGCUCGAUGGUGUUUUGGUACGAAUUAUGGCUUUCAUCUUGCAUUGCUUUCAUCACUGCGUUAAGGAUUGGUGGAAAGAAAUAUCGCAAAUGUUAUCCGUCAGUCUACCUACAGUAUGAAAAACUUGAGUGUCGAACUUAUCCGUGUGAAUAAGUCAAAGGUAUCUAUUCUGCAAUUUUGCACCACAUAAUCGUCGAAAAAAAAAAAAAACA